rnacentral:tRNA from 2 species
GGGGUUUUAGCUCAGUUGGGAGAGCGCUACGCUGGCAGCGUAGAGGUCAGGGGUUCGAGCCCCCUAAGCUCCACCA